UACGAAGGGGGCUAGCGUUGCUCGGAAUCACUGGCGUAAAGCGCACGUAGGCGGAUUGUUAAGUCAGGGGUGAAAUCCUGGAGCUCAACUCCAGAACUGCCUUGAUACUGGCGAUCUCGAGUCCGGGAGAGGUGGAGUGGAACUGCGAGUGUAGAGGUGAAAUUCGUAGAUAUUCGCAAGAACACCAGUGGCGAAGGCGGCCUCACUGGCCCGGUACUGAC
rnacentral:rRNA from 1 species